rnacentral:rRNA from 1 species
UAACUAUGAUGGCUAAAUGUAAGGGGGUUCCGCCCAUUAUGUGCUGCANUUAANGUCUUUAGCUAUCNGCUUGGGGAGUUCCGUUUGCCAAGACUGAAACUNUAAAGGAUUNUGACCGGGGGCCCCGCNACAAGCCGGUGGAAGCAUGUGGUUUAAUUCGAAGCAAACUGCGAAAGNACCUUACCAGGUCUUGACUAUCCCGUUGUACCACUGUAGUAGAUAUGGUUUUCCCUUCGGGGACUAACGGUGACAGGUGGUGCAUGGUUGUCGUCUAGCUCGUGUCGUGAGUAUGUUGGGUUAAGUCCCGCAACGAGCUGCAACCCUUGAUCUUAGUUGCCAUCAUUUAGUUGGGCUACUCUAAGGUGACUGCCGGUGACUAAACCGGUAGGAAGGUGGGGUAUGACGUCAAUAUCAUCAUGCCCCUUAUGUACCUGGGCUACACACGUGCUACAAUGGUACGUAUACAAACGGUUGCCAACUCGCGAGAGGGUAGCUAAUCCGAUAAAGUCGUUCUCAGUUCGGAUUGUAGGCUGCAGCUCGCCUACAUGAAGCCGGAAUCGCUAGUAAUCGCGGAUCAGCAUGCCGCGGUGAAUACGUUCCCGGGCCUUGUACACACCGCCCGUCUACACCACGAGAGUUUGUAACACCCGAAGUCGGUGGGGUAACCUUUAUGGAGCCAGCCGCCGAAGGUGGGAUAGAUGAUAGGGGUGAAGUCGUAACAAGGUAUUACUACCGGGAGUGCGGCUGGAUCACCUCUUAAGCCGUAGAUCAUUCGCGAGUACCGGCUGAUUC